UAUGGCCACAUCACGAUGAAACAUCUUUCCGUACGAUCACCGAAGUUAAGCAACGUCGAGUCUGGUCAGUACCUAGAAGGGUGACCGCUUGUGAAUAACAAGUAUU
rnacentral:rRNA from 1 species